CAGCAGCCGCGGUAAUUCGUAGGUGGCAAGCGUUGUCCGGAAUUAUUGGGCGUAAAGCGCGCGCAGGCGGUUCCUUAAGUCUGAUGUGAAAGCCCACGGCUCAACCGUGGAGGGUCAUUGGAAACUGGGGGACUUGAGUGCAGAAGAGGAGAGCGGAAUUCCACGUGUAGCGGUGAAAUGCGUAGAGAUGUGGAGGAACACCAGUGGCGAAGGCGGCUCUCUGGUCUGUAACUGACGCUGAGGCGCGAAAGCGUGGGGAGCAAACAGGAUUAGAUACCCGGGUAGUCCACGCCGUAAACGAUGAGUGCUAAGUGUUAGAGGGUAUCCACCCUUUAGUGCUGUAGCUAACGCAUUAAGCACUCCGCCUGGGGAGUACGCUCGCAAGAGUGAAACUUAAAGGAAUUGGCGGG
rnacentral:rRNA from 1 species